rnacentral:rRNA from 1 species
GACAGAGGUGCCGAGCGUUAGGCGGAAUCACUGGGCUUAAAGCGUGUGUAGGCGGACUUCUAAGUACCUUGUGAAAUCCCACGGCUUAACCGUGGAACUGCUUGGUAUACUGGUUGUCUUGGGCCAUCUAGGGGCUACUGGAACAAACGGUGGAGCGGUGAAAUGCGUAGAUAUCAGGAGGAACACCGGUGGCGAAGGCGGUUCUCUGGGCAUUACCUGACGCUGAGGAGCGAAAGUGUGGGGAGCGAACAGG